GACAUUGGAGGGCAAGUCUGGUGCCAUCAGCCGCGGUAAUUCCAGCUCCAAUAGCGUAUAUUAAAGUUGUUGCAGUUAAAAAGCUCGUAGUUGGAUUUUGGGAUAAGCUUGUUGGGCCGCCGCGAGGUGUUUGCCCCGACGAGGGUAUCCUUCCUCUCGAAAUUGGCGUGUGCGCUUAAUUGAGUGUGCGUCGAGUUUGGGACUUUUACUGUGAAAAAAUUAGAGUGUUCAAAGCAGGCUAUCGCUUGAAUAUUUCAGCAUGGAAUAAUGGAAUAGGACGUUGGUUCUAUUUUGUUGGUUUCUAGGACCGAAGUAAUGAUUAAUAGGGAUAGUUGGGGGCAUUAGUAUUUAAUUGUCAGAGGUGAAAUUCUUGGAUUUAUGAAAGACUAACUUCUGCGAAAGCAUUUGCCAAGGAUGUUUUCAUUAAUCAAGAACGAAAGUUAGGGGAUCGAAGAUGAUCAGAUACCGUCGUAUUCCUAACCAUAAACUAUGCCGACUAGGGAUUGGUGGAUGUUAAUUCUAUAACUCCAUCAGCACCUUAUGAGAAAUCAAAGUCUUUGGGUUCCGGGGGGAGUAUGGUCGCAAGGCUGAAACUUAAAGGAAUUGACGGAAGGGCACCACCAGGAGUGGAGCCUGCGGCUUAAUUUGACUCAACACGGGGAAACUCACCAGGUCCAGACAUAGUAAGGAUUGACAGAUUGAUAGCUCUUUCUUGAUUCUAUGGGGUGGUGGUGCAUGGCCGUUCUUAGUUGG
rnacentral:rRNA from 1 species